UAUCUCAAGAUGCUUCUGCAUCAAAUUCUGUCAUAUUAAUAUUAGUUUGUAGGUUCCUUCUAACAAUUUUAUCUAGUUCUUCAUUGGUUUUUUAUCCUCUCUCUAUGGUGAUAUGUUUCAUCAUAAAGUUUCCCCUCCAUCUUGAAUAUAAUUUUCGCACUAUGCUCCGGAUGCACCUUCUUAGAUCAUCUGUUCCUAUAUCAAAGCAAAAACAUAGAUUAAGCUUAUAAAGUUGGCCGAUCAAUAAUCGUUCUGGUCUCUUUGUAAACAUUACCCCAACCAUCAUAGGAAUUAGAGUCAAUGUAGAUCAAGCUCCAUAACUGCUCUGACAAGGAAUCAAAGAGCUUUCGUGCAUAUAUAGAAUUUAAAUGAUUGUUUGCUUCAGUGGAGAUACCUGAUUUCUAAUGGUUGCAUGCAUAUUAAACCAUGAAUAUAGUUCUCCGGUUUGAGUUUGUAAUUCAGCAUACAGUAUCAGUUCAUAUAGGAUGACUUGCGAGUUCUAUAUAUAUUUCGAAUUAAAUUCCUUCAGCACAAAUAAUUCUUAGCUCACUUCCAUGGUCUGAUCUCGCCACCAUAUAAUAUGAGAUUGUUGAAGCUGCACUACAAAGAUUCAGUUUACUGAUUACUACAUUGAAAUAUCCAGUGAUUUCAUAUAGCAUUGCUUUGUGGAGAAGGUGCGAAACCACUGCACUUUCUUUUUCAGAAACUUUGUUUAGUGGGUAACUGAAAAUAUAACAAACAACUACCUCACAAAUGUUUAAAAUAAACAUUGUAACAUGAUAAACUUUCCUUGUAAUAUAUAUCAACAGAGGGGAGAAAAUAAGCAUGCAA
rnacentral:lncRNA from 1 species